UCACUUCGGCAGUGAGUAUGGUAAAACUGGAAUGGUACAGAGAAGAUUAGCAAGCCCCCUGAACUAAGAUGACAUUCAAGUUUGUGAAAUAUUUAUAUCCUUC
ensembl:snRNA U6 U6 spliceosomal RNA